UUUUUCCUUUACCACUUUCUUGUUCUUGUUGGAAAAUUCUUAGAUGCAAAUGCAAAGAAGACAUGAGCACAAGACUAACGUGCUUAAGGUGUCAGGGAUGUGACAACUAGGGCCCAGGAGUUGGAUGGCGGUUCAAGAUCUACAUAGAGGAUAGGCCAUCGAGGAGGUUUCCAGUCUUGGAAAGCACGGCAACUUAGAGACAAAGGAAACCACGAUCUGUAUCGUGGUGGGGACUCUUGU
rnacentral:lncRNA from 1 species